GCCNANNGCCGCCGCCGGNUAACACCAGCGCCCCAAGUGGCAACCGCGAUUAUUGGGCCUAAAGCGUUCGUAGCCGGCUGAGGAAUCUUUUGUGAAAUGUCCAGCUUAACUGAUAGCGCGCAGGAGAGCUGCUCAGCUAGGGACCGGGAGGAGUAGAAGUAUUCCCGGGGGGAGCGGUAAAAUGCUAUAAUCCUCGGAAGACUACCUGUGGCGAAAGCGUCUAACCAGAACGGAUCCGACGGUCAGGAACGAAAGCCAGGGGAGCAAACGGAUUAGAUACCCGAGUAGUCCUGGCUGUAAACUCUGUGAGCAAGGUGUUGCAUAUUCUACAUGAAUGUGCAGUACCGAAACGAAGGUGUUAAGCUCACCGCCUGGGAAGUACGGUCGCAAGACUGAAACUUAAAGGAAUUGGCGGGGGAGCACUACAAGGGGUGCGGCGUGCGGUUUAAUCUAAUUCCACACAGAGAAUCUCACCAGGAGCGACGGCAGAAUGAAAGUCAUGCUGAAGACGUUACUUGACGAGCCGAGAGGUAGUGCAUGGCCGCCGUCAGCUCGUGCCGUAAGGUGUCCUGUUAAGUCAGGCAACGAGCAAGACCUGUAUCCACAAUUGCUAUCGGAUCCUCUAGGAUGACUGGGCACUUUGUGGGGACUGCCUCGGAAACGAGGAGGAAGGUGCAGGCAACGGUAGGUCUGUAUGCUCCGGAUCUCCUGGGCUACACGCGCGCAACAAUGGUAGGGACAAUGGGAUACGACUCCGAAAGGAGAAGUUAAUCCUCGAAACCCUAUCCAAGUCCGGAUUGAGGAUUGUAACUCAUCCUCAUGACGAUGGAAUCCCUAGUA
rnacentral:rRNA from 1 species